CCCGCUGAACUUAAGCAUAUCAAUAAGCGGAGGAAAAGAAACCAACAGGGAUUGCCUUAGUAACGGCGAGUGAAGCGGCAAUAGCUCAAAUUUGAAAUCUGGCGCUUUUGGGCGUCCGAGUUGUAAUUUGUAGAGGAUGUUUCGGUAUUGGCUCCAGUCUAAGUCCCUUGGAACAGGGUGUCGCAGAGGGUGAGAAUCCCGUACGCGACUGGCUGCCUUUGCCAUGUGAAACUCCUUCGACGAGUCGAGUUGUUUGGGAAUGCAGCUCUAAUUGGGAGGUAAAUUUCUUCUAAAGCUAAAUACUGGCCAGAGACCGAUAGCGAACAAGUACCGUGAGGGAAAGAUGAAAAGCACUUUGGAAAGAGAGUGAAACAGUACGUGAAAUUGUUGAAAGGGAAACGCUUGAAGUCAGUCGCGUCGUCCGAGACUCAGCCUCGCCUCGGCUUGGCGUACUUCUCGGCCCGACGGGUCAGCAUCGAUUUCGCCUCUCGGAUAAUGGCGAGGGAAAAGUGACACCUUUACGGUGUGUUAUAGUCUCUCGUCGCAUGCGAGGGUCGGGAUUGAGGAACUCAGCACGCGCCCUCGGGCGUCGGGGCUUUCGCCCACGAUACGUGCUUAGGAUGUUGGCGUAAUGGCUUUAAACGACCCGUCUUGAAACACGG
rnacentral:rRNA from 1 species